rnacentral:rRNA from 1 species
UACGGAGGGUGCGAGCGUUGUCCGGAAUCACUGGGCGUAAAGGGCGCGUAGGUGGCUCACGCACGCGUGCGGUGAAAGCCCGGGGCUCAACCCCGGGUCGGCCGUGCGGACUGCGGGGCUCGAGCACUGUAGGGGCAGAUGGAAUUCCGGGUGUAGCGGUGGAAUGCGUAGAGAUCCGGAAGAACACCGGUGGCGAAGGCGGUCUGCUGGGCAGUUGCUGACACUGAGGCGCGACAGCGUGGGGAGCAAACAGG